AUCGUUCAUCUCCAAGGAGACGGAAGUAGACUUAGGUCGAAGGAACGCAUG
rnacentral:ncRNA from 10 species